AAAGAAAAAGGAAGAGAAAGAUUUCGCCUGUUACUUAACGAGUAAUACUUUAAAGUUAUAAUUUAUUUAGUUGUAACAAAAGUAUGGUAAUUACACUAUACGUUUAAUGCGUAACAAUACGUACAUACGUACACAUAUGUAGGUAUGUACAGUUGCAUAGGAUGUGUAUAUAUAUAUAUACAGUAUCGUCGAUAAGAAGUUGCUAAACUUGAUUUCCUUUGUACCCUGAUUAUUUAUUUAAACGUUAUCACAUUCUCUCAUUGCUUCAUACACGAUAUUCCACGUGAUCGUCAUACUCUAUUUUAAAAAUCUACUUUGCUGACAAUCGCGUGGAAAAUCGUUAUCGUUCGAUCUGUCUAAUCGCUUCGAAGGCCUCGCGAACAAUGCGCGUACUUCAAUCUUUUUUUCUUUUUUUCCUCCGUGAACAGUACAAUUUCCUCUAAACAUGACGUUACUUAAAUUAAAAAACGAAGAUAAUAACACGUUCUGCGAGCGCUUCUCUUCUCGAUCCAAGUGGAAAUUCCAUACACCGGGUAAUUCGAACGUCACUUGGCCGCGGUUCUUUUUUUCCUGCCAUAUUCUUUUCUUUCUUAAUCGAGUUUUUAAAUUACUUUUUACACGCGCGUACAAUCGGGUCAUCUUAAGCAUAUCUUAGGAAAAGUCUUAUUGCUCUUUGAAAUAGAGGAACGUUUCAGGAAUGAUUCUACAACGUCUAGAUCCGUUUUCACGAUCGGAACGAAGAACAAACGUAUCGAAAGUCAUCGUUGCGUACAGAUUCGAGCAAUGGAAAAUUAGUUUCUAUCAAUGACGACGAUUUCGCAUUCUCGAGAAGUUUACCAUGGACGAUACGUUUCGUCCCAUACUCGGACAAUUCCGACCUCGAUGAAAUCCGAUCGAGGCGCUCGACUUUUCGCCGCGACGACCGACUUCGAUCGUUGAUCGUCGUACACGCGGUCGGUUAUUCAUUCUCCCUUCGUUAUUUCCAGUAUCUUUCUUUUUCUUUGUUUCGCUAACGCCCACGCAUCAACCAAUAACCGCGUUUCGUCCGCGCCAAUACGUUACGCAUCACGUUAGAAAGAAAAUAAUUUUUCUUCUCUUUCGAUUUUCCGAUCUUUUCGCGCGUAUCGUUCGAUAGGUACAUCGUGCUAGGCUCGAUCAAUCGUUUUCUACCUGAAAGAUAUGUCCAGCUCGAUUAACCGCUACUCGUCGAUAUGUCUCGUUUCUCCAACCGUAUACCUUGAGUGUCGCGACCUUGUUAGAACGGUAUAUAUUUGGCAAAUCUUUAAGGCUAUCGCGUAAAUGCAAAUACGAUUGUCGUUCCUAAUCGUUAAGAAGAAAAAAAAAAAAAAGAGUGUUGCGCACACGCGUAUCGCCGAUGCGUGAAGGAUAUCUCGUCGAGGAAAAUUCUUGCGAUCUUCUUCAUACUAUAAUCCGAAACGAACUAUUCAACGGAACCGGUGUUAAUUGGUAGUGAGAUAUAAGCAAGUACGUCCGUUGCUAGAUCGUACGAACAACAGAAAACGAACUCUAUCGAUACUCGAGUAAAAAGGUUACGUUACGACUUACGAUAGAAAAAAUUAUGCUUGAGAAACCAACGUUUCAACGAAUCCUCGCGAAAUGCCGUUUAUAACCAGGGAGGGAAAUUCGUCGAAGAAAGAAACGAAAUACUAAAGGGAGAACGAUCUCUGAACGCCACCGCACGAAAAAGGGAAAGAAAUAGAAAAUGUGUACGCUAGCGUUAAAACGUGUCAUCGACUUCGCUCGGUUUUGCUGCUACGGAAACACGUUGUCGUCCGGUUUCUUGGUCACAGAAAUUAUGCAUUGGCCUUCCUACGAACGAGACGAGAGGUGUCCAAAGUAUAGCGCGAUAAUUUCAAGAAAUAAUUUUCCGUAGAAUAAUCUUCUCUCGAGUUUCGUCGUUGCAUUUGGAAGUCUAUUCUUAAUUACAAGGAUAAAGAUGACGAGAAACAAGGAGGAACGCGAGUCUCCGCGAACGUUCAAACGAUCGCGUGCAAAAUAGGAAUGUGCUCUCUCUCUCCCUAUCCGAUCGUCCAUUACAACAAGAUUCCUUUCUCUAAUUAAUCUUCCUACGUCGUCCCUAAACGCAAUUAACGCGUCUCGGUGGUGGAAACCCCACGACUCGGUUGUCAACGCCCAAAUACCGACUGCGUCAUUUUCUUUUCUUUCAGUUUUAUUCCGCCCGAAGCGCACGAGCACAUCGCUCGUCUCAGAUAAAGAUCGAUCGUAUUCGCGGAAUUCCCGCGUGCAAAUCGCUCACUCCUUUUCUCGUCUCUCCGCCAUCUUUUUCGCGAUUCUACGGAACCCACGCGAUCGAAGACGGAAUACAUAUCGGUGCGAUUGUUCGAUGGUCUAGCGGAUCUCGUCCUCGCGUCUAUACGUAUCUAACGCGGCGUUCAGUUAUUAAAUAUUAUGGUACUUGGGAGGAUCGGAUAAAAUCUUACGUACAAAGGAAACGACACGUACGUUAAACGGUUAAGGUUUGUCAAAAAAUAAAUACAUUCGUUAACUACUAUCGCGCGUACGAGGCGGGAAACGUGCAGUCGGCGAGUACCGUUCGUUAGGUGAGAGCUGCUCGUACCUCGGAACAUGGAAAAAGUAGGCGUUAUUCGUUCUAUCGCUCGACGUCUCUACCUCGUUUACGUAUCGUUUGAACAGAUCAUAGAACGAAAUAGAACGCUCGUUCGAAUCUCUGUCGCGUUUCCCUUGUCGUCCUUUACGAUCGAUAACAAUUAUAUCGCAUCGAACGCGCGCCGACGUCUUAUCACAUACGCGUAUACCUAAGACCUAAAAAUCACGAGCGUUGUCGUUCCGGCCCGUACCUACGAUUCUAACGAUAAAAAAAAAAAAAAAAAAGAAAA